rnacentral:rRNA from 1 species
AGAGUUUGCUUUUGGCUCAGGAUGAACGCUAGCUACAGGCUUAACACAUGCAAGUCGAGGGGCAGCAUGAACUUAGCUUGCUAAGUUUGAUGGCGACCGGCGCACGGGUGCGUAACGCGUAUCCAACCUUCCCGUUACUCAGGGAUAGCCUUCCGAAAGGGAGAUUAAUACCUGAUGGUGUUCAAAUCGCGCAUGUCAUUUGGACUAAAGAUUCAUCGGUAACGGAUGGGGAUGCGUUCCAUUAGCUUGUUGGCGGGGUAACGGCCCACCAAGGCGACGAUGGAUAGGGGUUCUGAGAGGAAGGUCCCCCACACUGGAACUGAGACACGGUCCAGACUCCUACGGGAGGCAGCAGUGAGGAAUAUUGGUCAAUGGCCGGGAGGCUGAACCAGCCAAGUAGCGUGAAGGAUGAAGGUUCUAUGGAUUGUAAACUUCUUUUAUACGGGAAUAACACCACCUACGUGUAGGUGCCUGCAUGUACCGUAUGAAUAAGCAUCGGCUAACUCCGUGCCAGCAGCCGCGGUAAUACGGAGGAUGCGAGCGUUAUCCGGAUUUAUUGGGUUUAAAGGGAGCGUAGACGGGACGUUAAGUCAGUUGUGAAAGGCUGCGGCUCAACCGCAGCACUGCAGUUGAUACUGUCGUCCUUGAGUGCGGUUGAGGUGCGUGGAAUUCGUGGUGUAGCGGUGAAAUGCUUAGAUAUCACGAAGAACUCCUAUUGCGAAGGCAGCGCACCAAGCCGCUACUGACGUUGAGGCUCGAAAGUGUGGGUAUCAAACAGGAUUAGAUACCCUGGUAGUCCACACGGUAAACGAUGGACACUCGCUGUUGGCGAUACAGUGUCAGCGGCCAAGCGGAAAGCAUUAAGUGUCCCACCUGGGGAGUACGCCGGCAACGGUGAAACUCAAAGGAAUUGACGGGGGCCCGCACAAGCGGAGGAACAUGUGGUUUAAUUCGAAGCAACGCGAAGAACCUUACCAGGUCUUGACAUCGUAUGCAUAACAUAGAGAUAUGUGAAAUCCCUUCGGGGACAUAUAGACAGGUGGUGCAUGGUUGUCGUCAGCUCGUGUCGUGAGAUGUUGGGUUAAGUCCCGCAACGAGCGCAACCCUUACCAUUAGUUGCUACGCAAGAGCACUCUAAUGGGACUGCCGUUGACAAAACGGAGGAAGGUGGGGAUGACGUCAAAUCAUCAUGCCCCUUAUGACCUGGGCUACACACGUACUACAAUGGCAAUUAACAAAGAGCAGCGAAGCGGUGACGUGGAGCAAAUCUCCAAAAAUUGUCCCAGUUCGGAUUGCAGGCUGCAACUCGCCUGCAUGAAGUCGGAAUUGCUAGUAAUCGUGGAUCAGCAUGCCACGGUGAAUACGUUCCCGGGCCUUGCACACACCGCCCGUCAAG